rnacentral:pre_miRNA from 1 species
AUCUUCCGGUGCUCCUGUCGCAGAUGACUUUCGCCCUUCUCUACAACGACCCUUCGAAUCAAAUAUUUUGGAAGGUUUUUAGUGUGAUAAGUGCGAGUCAUCUGUGACAGGAUAAUGGAAGAU